rnacentral:rRNA from 1 species
AACGUAGGACACAAGCGUUAUCCGGAGUUACUGGGCGUAAAGGGCGUGUAGGCGGAUCAAUAAGUCUAUUCUGAAAGCUCCUGGCUAAACUGGGAGAGGCGAAUGGAGACUGUUGGUCUAGAGUGAGGAAGAGGAAAGUGGAAUUCCGCGUGUAGUGGUGAAAUGCGUAGAGAUGCGGAGGAACACCAGUGGCGGAAGGCGGAUCUCUGGGCCUUACCUGACGCUGAGGCGGCGAAAAGCUAGGGGAGCAAACAGG